GACGAACGCUGGCGGCGUGCUUAACACAUGCAAGUCGAACGGUAAGGCCCUUCGGGGUACACGAGUGGCGAACGGGUGAGUAACACGUGGGUGAUCUGCCCUGCACUUCGGGAUAAGCCUGGGAAACUGGGUCUAAUACCGGAUAGGACCACUGCCUGCAUGGGUGGUGGUGGAAAGCUUUUGCGGUGUGGGAUGGGCCCGCGGCCUAUCAGCUUGUUGGUGGGGUGAUGGACUACCAAGGCGACGACGGGUAGCCGGCCGGAGAGGGUGACCGGCCACACUGGGACUGAGAUACGGCCCAGACUCCUACGGGAGGCAGCAGUGGGGAAUAUUGCACAAUGGGCGCAAGCCUGAUGCAGCGACGCCGCGUGAGGGAUGACGGCCUUCGGGUUGUAAACCUCUUUCAGCACCGACGAAGCGCAAGUGACGGUAGGUGCAGAAGAAGGACCGGCCAACUACGUGCCAGCAGCCGCAGUAACAC
rnacentral:rRNA from 1 species